UACGUAGGGGGCAAGCGUUGUCCGGAUUUAUUGGGCGUAAAGACGGCGCGUAGGCGGCAAGGUAUGUCGUGCGUGAAAUCUCCCGGCUUAACUGGGAGGGGCCGUGACGAAACUGCCUGGCUUGAGGUCGGAAGGGGAAAGUGGAAUUCCGGGUGUAGUGGUGGAAUACGUAGAGUAAUCCGGAGGAACACCAGCGGCGAAGGCGGCUUUCUGGUCCGAUUCUGACGCUGAGGCGCGAAAGCGUGGGG
rnacentral:rRNA from 1 species